AGUGCAUGUGGUGGAUGCCUUGGCAGUCAGAGGCGAUGAAAGACGUGAUAGCCUGCGAAAAGCUCCGGGGAGGCGGCAAAUAUCCUUUGAUCCGGAGAUGUCUGAAUGGGGGAACCCACCUACUUUAAGGUAGGUAUUGCAACAUGAAUACAUAGUGUUGCAAGGCGAACGAGGGGAAGUGAAACAUCUCAGUACCCUUAGGAAAAGAAAUCAAUUGAGAUUCCCUCAGUAGCGGCGAGCGAACGGGGAUCAGCCCAUUAAGUUAUGUGUGUUUUAGUGGAACGCUCUGGGAAGUGCGAACGUAGAGGGUGAUAUUCCCGUACACGAAAGGGCACACAUAAUGAUGACGAGUAGGGCGAGGCACGUGAAACCUUGUCUGAAUAUGGGGGGACCAUCCUCCAAGGCUAAAUACUCCUGACUGACCGAUAGUGAACCAGUACCGUGAGGGAAAGGCGAAAAGAACCCCUGUGAGGGGAGUGAAAUAGAUCCUGAAACCGCAUGCAUACAAGCAGUGGGAGCACCUUCGUGGUGUGACUGCGUACCUUUUGUAUAAUGGGUCAGCGACUUAUAUUCAGUAGCGAGGUUAACCGUAUAGGGGAGCCGUAGAGAAAUCGAGUCUUAAUAGGGCGUUUAGUUGCUGGGUAUAGACCCGAAACCAGGCGAUCUAUCCAUGAGCAGGUUGAAGGUUGGGUAACACUAACUGGAGGACCGAACCCACUGUCGUUGAAAAGCCAGGGGAUGACUUGUGGAUAGGGGUGAAAGGCUAAUCAAGCCUGGUGAUAGCUGGUUCUCCCCGAAAGCUAUUUAGGUAGCGCCUCGGACGAAUACCAUAGGGGGUAGAGCACUGUUUCGGCUAGGGGGUCAUCCCGACUUACCAAACCGAUGCAAACUCCGAAUACCUAUGAGUACUAUCCGGGAGACAGACUGCGGGUGCUAACGUCCGUAGUCAAGAGGAAAACAAUCCAGACCGCCAGCUAAGGCCCCAAAAUCAUAGUUAAGUGGGAAACGAUGUGGGAAGGCAUAGACAGCUAGGAGGUUGGCUUAGAAGCAGCCACCCUUUAAAGAAAGCGUAAUAGCUCACUAGUCGAGUCGGCCUGCGCGGAAGAUGUAACGGGGCUAAAACUAUGUGCCGAAGCUGCGGAUGUAUACUUUGUNNACGUGGUAGGGGAGCGUUCUGUAAGCCGAUGAAGGUGUNUUGAGAAGNAUGCUGGAGGUAUCAGAAGUGCGAAUGCUGACGUGAGUAACGACAAAACGGGUGAAAAACCCGUUCGCCGAAAGACCAAGGGUUCCAGUCCAACGUUAAUCGGGGCUGGGUGAGUCGACCCCUAAGGCGAGGCCGAAAGGCGUAGUCGAUGGGAAAAUGGUUAAUAUUCCAUUACUUCUGUGUAAUGCGAUGAGAGGACGGAGAAGGCUAAAUCAGCCUGGCGUUGGUUGUCCAGGUGAAAGGAUGUAGGCAUGUAUCUUAGGCAAAUCCGGGGUACUCUAUGCUGAGAUCUGAUAGCAAGCUGUACUUGUACAGCGAAGUGGUUGAUGCCAUGCUUCCAGGAAAAGUCUCUAAGCUUCAGUUACACAGGAAUCGUACCCGAAACCGACACAGGUGGUCAGGUCGAGUAGACCAAGGCGCUUGAGAGAACUCUGCUGAAGGAACUAGGCAAAAUGGUACCGUAACUUCGGGAGAAGGUACGCUGUUGUUGGUGAUGGAACUCGCUUCCUGAGCUGACGACAGCCGCAGAAACCAGGCCGCUGCAACUGUUUAUUAAAAACAUAGCACUCUGCAAACACGAAAGUGGACGUAUAGGGUGUGAUGCCUGCCCGGUGCUGGAAGGUUAAUUGAUGGGGUUAGCGUAAGCGAAGCUCUUGAUCGAAGCCCCAGUAAACGGCGGCCGUAACUAUAACGGUCCUAAGGUAGCGAAAUUCCUUGUCGGGUAAGUUCCGACCUGCACGAAUGGCAUAAUGAUGGCGGCGCUGUCUCCAGCAGAGGCUCAGUGAAAUCGAAAUCGCUGUGAAGAUGCAGUGUACCCGCGGCUAGACGGAAAGACCCCGUGAACCUUUACUGCAGCUUGACACUGAACUUUGACCUUACUUGUGUAGGAUAGGUGGGAGGCUUUGAAGCUGGAACGCUAGUUCCAGUGGAGCCGUCCUUGAAAUACCACCCUGGUAAUGUUGAGGUUCUAACUCUGUCCCGUGAUCCGGGACGAGGACCGUGUCUGGUGGGUAGUUUGACUGGGGCGGUCUCCUCCUAAAGAGUAACGGAGGAGUACGAAGGUGCGCUCAGCGUGGUCGGAAAUCACGCGUAGAGUAUAAAGGCAAAAGCGCGCUUAACUGCGAGACCCACAAGUCGAGCAGGUACGAAAGUAGGUCUUAGUGAUCCGGUGGUUCUGUAUGGAAGGGCCAUCGCUCAACGGAUAAAAGGUACUCUGGGGAUAACAGGCUGAUACCGCCCAAGAGUUCAUAUCGACGGCGGUGUUUGGCACCUCGAUGUCGGCUCAUCUCAUCCUGGGGCUGAAGCAGGUCCCAAGGGUAUGGCUGUUCGCCAUUUAAAGAGGUACGCGAGCUGGGUUUAGAACGUCGUGAGACAGUUCGGUCCCUAUCUACCGUGGGCGCUGGAAAUUUGAGAGGAUCUGCUCCUAGUACGAGAGGACCAGAGUGGACGAACCUCUGGUGUACCGGUUGUGACGCCAGUCGCAUCGCCGGGUAGCUAUGUUCGGAAGGGAUAACCGCUGAAAGCAUCUAAGCGGGAAGCCUACCUCAAGAUAAGAUUUCCCUAGGACUUUAUGUCCUCUAAAGAGCCGUUCGAGACUAGGACGUUGAUAGGUUGGAUGUGGAAGCAUAGUGAUAUGUGAAGCUGACCAAUACUAAUUGCUCGUGAGGCUUGACU
rnacentral:rRNA from 1 species